rnacentral:lncRNA from 1 species
CAAAUCAAUUUUAUCUUGAUUUUCUCUAGUUCAACACUUAAAGAGGAUAUUUGUCAGGUCACUUACAGCCACACGAAGAUGUCUGGCCUCUACAAGAAAAUCCACGUGAAGACUGGCGCAGAUCAAGGACUUGGAGGUGCUAGCCUGCAAGCAACUUUGACGGCUGAUCUCUUCCCUUUUCUUCAAGCACCUUGGACACUCCAAAAGAUGAAGAGAUCUAGAGGAGAAAGAGAGGAGA